AAAAAUGUGUGAGAGAUGUGACUCUGAUAUCUGCUUAAACGUGAAAUGCUGGGUUCCCGGUGAACAGACGUGACCGGGCCUCCGCCAUGAGAUGAUUCAACCAACCUCCUGCCUCUUUCUUUGGAGUAAAGGCAGAGCUACUGAUGAGCUGCUCAGUGUGGAGAUGAAUGUCAUGCUGCAGACUGACUGAAGCAGUGUGUGGAGCAGCUGGCCUGCAGGGGGCAGUACACAGCCAGGAACCAAGAGUGAUGUCAGUGUUGCCUGACUGGUGUGAAGAACUGGAGUCCACCGGCUGGGAUGUUGACAGGCUGUCAGACACUUCUGCUCAGCCUGAGGAUGCAAUUUAAACUGUGUGACAUUUAUUACAACAACUUUACUGGAAUGUAAAAUCUGAAUAAAAUGUGAACAAUCUGUAGUAA